ACGGUAGGCUUGAACGAGAUGACUAUAAUUGAUUAGCUAUGUCACGUUCCCAAAUAUAGCAUCGCCUUAUCAUUGAUUAUUGAACAGGAAGUGAUGUUGAUUUGACAAAUUAGAUAUUUUAAUUUGUCCCGGAUCCAUCGUGAAGGAUACGUACGCAAUAAUUUAAGGUAGGCGCAAACCAGUCGGGUAUAAAAGCGACUCAGAUUAGAGCAAUUGGCAUAGUUUACUCUCGUAGCAAACCGACAAAAUGUUCAAAUUGUUGUUCUUAUUCGCCCUCGUCUUCGCUGCAAGCAUGGCGGCCCCAGCGCCGGAACCCAAGCCGCAAAUUCUCAGCGCGUAUGGUGCUUAUCCAUACUCUUUGGGAUAUAACCAUCUUGCCUACCCGUACUACGGGGGAUACUAUGGCAGUGCUCUCUACGGCGCGGGAUAUUACCUGUAAAUUUUUGUGUUGAAUUACGCUAACAACUGUAGUUAAUAAAUCAUAAAUGGAAGGGGUG